UCUCUCUUCUUUCUCCCCCGUUUCUCUCUCUUCUUUCUGUCCUCUUGCUCUGUCGAAUCUAUCUUCUUUCUCUCUCGAUUCUCUCUUGUUGCUCUGUCGAUUCUCUCUUCUUUCUCUCUCGGUUCUCUCUUCUUUAUAGCAAUGUCACAAAAUUCAGGGAUUAUGGAUGAAAAUGUUAUUUCUAAUUGCGGUAAUUCUUGUAAUGUAAGAACUUCGAGGACAAUUAACAACCCAGGUCGUAGAUUUUAUUGGUUCCAAGAUGUCAAAAGAUAAGGUGGACGUGGUUAUUUUAAAUGGAUUGAUUCUUCUCCAGAGGUUGAGCUUCUGAAGGAGAAGCUUAAAGAGGUUGAAGAAAAAAGGGAUAUAUUGAAACACAAAAUGAAGGAACUUGGAGGCAAGAUUGAUUCAUUGAAACAAAAAUUGGAGGAAACAAAGCAAAAGAGGGACUGUCAAAAGCCAAAUUCAAUAGGCUUGUGAUUGUUCUUUUAUGUUUAUUAGUUGCAAAAAAUUUCAUUGGUAUUGUCUAAUUGUAUCGUACUGUUAUGUUGCUACUGUAGUAGUUACCCCAAUGUAGUAGUGUUUUGGAUAUUAGAUUUUGUGAAUUAGUUGG